AGCUGGGGCAUCUGCCCCCCGCCCCCCGCCUGACCUGGGUGCAGGUGCGGGAAUUCUGAACAGUUGGUGAGUUUCAGUUGCCCCCAGCCCGAGUGGCACAGUGGAUGCCGGUGCCUGUCCGAUCCUGUCCUCGUCGGAAUCCUCCGAUGUCGGCAGUCACGGAGUUCGUCCUCUCGGUUGUCAGAGUGACUGCCCCAGCGCUGCAUCGAUUGUGUUCAGGUCGCCCUGAGUGAACUGAAUGAUGCCCCCAGAGCUCCAGGCCCUGAGCCCGGCAGGCCCAGCUGCGUCCCAGCGAGGCUGUGAAGUGCACACUUCCUCCAGUCCUUGCUGCACCAGGGCGCGUGCAACGCAGUGCCGCCAGACAUCCCACUUUGCACGACUCCUCCGGCCAGGACAGCCCUCCUGGCAGUGCUUACCGCUGUUAGCCUGGGGCUGUGCUUAACCCAGAGCCCUUGCCCUGAGUGUGUAUGUACGCAGAGGGAGGGAGGUUCGUUCUAUUUGUAGUUUUGGGCCUCCUCCAGGGGCUGUGGCACAGGUCCCCAUGGAAGAGGGGGAGCGCUGGACAGUGCCACGGAGCAGCCAGUUGGGGAGUCCUGCCAGGUGAAGCAGAUGGAGCCCAGGGCCUCGAGCACCCGGAGCAGGGGCUCUGCCACGGAGCUGUGCCCAACCUGGCUUCUGCUAUCGCAAUGCCUGGAGACUUUCCCUCCGGAUUUUGUAGGAAGCAGGCGCUGGAUUGGAAGGUUCCUUCCUUCCUCUCUCCCUCCCUCCCUCCCUUCCUCCCUCCCUCCCUCCCUUCCUUCCUUCCUUCCUUCCGUCCUUCCUUCCUUCCUUCCUUCCUUUCUCUCUUUCUCUUUCAUUCUUCCUCUUUCUCUCUCCCUCUCUCUCUCUCUUUUUUGAGACAGGGUCUCACUACGUGGCCCAGGUUGACCUUGAACUUGUGGUGA
rnacentral:lncRNA from 1 species